ACUUGUACAGUAGACGUUCGCUCGGUGCAAACGGUUUAACUGCAAUGCUUUUUAACUGCAAGUCCGCUAAGUGCAACAAUUUUGCAGUUAUCGCACCGCUAUCUGUCAAAAACGAAACGUCAACAGAGUUGCGAUGUUUUUCAGAUGCACUACAGCUGCAUUGCGAUGUUUUUGAGUGCAUUCUGGCUGCGUCCAACAGCAAUUGACAACUGUUUGACGGCUGUCAGUCGUUGCAGUUAGCGAAUUUCAUUCGGUAACUGAAACGUAAACAUGUUGCACUUAUCGAACGUCUACUGUAGUUUGUUUAUGCAACAUACACUUGUAAAUUCUACUAAUAAUAUUAGUCCAACCGACUUGUAGUAUUGGACUUGUAACUUGUACUUGUAGUAUUUUUAUGCAACAGAAAAUUAUAAAUUACAAGCUACAAGACUAAUAUUAUUAGUAAAAUUUUCAUUAUGCUACAGGCCCCUGGCUGCGUCUAACAGCAAUGGAUUACCCGCUUCGGCGGAAAUUGCAACAGAUGGCGCUAGUGAGCAGGAGUUUUUCACUUUUCAAAUGCAUGGAGAAAUUAAUAAAAACUCGUUUCUUGACUUAUUAAACGUCUUAUCGGGAAAAAUAUUUGGUACAGGUAGUAGGCCAUUACGAUAGCAAUCUACGGUACCAAAUAUUUUUUAUCAAAAUUUCAAAAUAUUUGAAAUAUUGGGAAAAAUGUUCAAAUCCCCAUACAGUAGACGUUCGCUCGGUGCAAACGGUUUAACUGCAAUGCUUUUUAACUGCAAGUCCGCUAAGUGCAACAAUUUUGCAGUUAUCGCACCGCUAUCUGUCAAAAACGAAACGUCAAUAGAGUUGCGAUGUUUUUCAGAUGCACUAAAGCUGCAAUGCGAUGUUUUUGAGUGCAUUCUGGCUGCGUCCAACAGUAAAUGACAACUGUUUGACGGCUGUCAGUCGUUGCAGUUAGCGAAUAUCAUUCGGUAACUGAAACGUAAACAUGUUGCACUUAUCGAACGUCUACUGUACAGUAGACGUUCGCUCGGUGCAAACGGUUUAACUGCAAUGCUUUUUAACUGCAAGUCCGCUAAGUGCAACAAUUUUGCAGUUAUCGCACCGCUAUCCGUCAAAAUGAAAUGUCAUCAACGAUGCGAUGUUUUUUGCAUGCACUUUUGUUGCAAUGCGAUGUUUUUGAGUGCAUUCUGGCUGCGUCCAACAGCAAUUGACAACUGUUUGACGGCUGUCAGUCGUUGCAGUUAGCGAAUUUCAUUCGGUAACUGAAACGUAAACAUGUUGCACUUAUCGAACGUCUACUGUACAUUAUUUCGACCAAAUACUUCUGCCUCGAUUUUGCCUGAUCUUUGUUUGCCUAUACAUGGCACCACAAAUAUACAUGGAUUCAUGUUUACCAAUCUGUCAACGACACGUAAUCAAAAAAAUAAAAAAAAAGUUUGGAACGGCAACGUGGAAGCAAAACAUGAUACAAUAAAAGGAUAACGUUAUUUGCGAGCCGUUCCUGGAUACUAACGUCUUAACAGAGCAACGGAAUAUUCGUCUGUGGAAAGAAAAAAAAAACAUUGACUUUAUUGCGUCGCAGCACUUCCAAGAUGUUCAUUGCCGACUUAUGUACAAUUCAUCGAAACGGAUCGAACUUCCCUUGCUGUUGAGAGUUUCCCGGUGUUACGCACGUAUUAGUGGUCCGAUAAGGUGUCUGUUCAAGCAUCUGAUGCACAUCACGUAUGUCUUGAAGAAGAACGGACGUCAGGAGCAACGCCGAUAUCUGUAAUGCAGGUAAUGGUCUUGAUGUUGUUAUGUAACCUUCUCCAGAAACUGUAUAACCGAUUUCUUUCUUCAUUCAUCUAUAGAUAUGCAGAGCACCGACCUGAUGAUUCGGUCCUAACCGACACGUCACCAUCCAAACCGAUAGCACAGGAAAAUACGACUCCCUUCAUUGGAGAUUAUCUCCCUCCUAAUAACGGAAUGCAUUUCCAUCUUUGCUUCCUGCUAUUCGAGUCACAGCUCAACUUCCAAAUAGGAUUCAGAUGUCACCGUCAGUAAAAACUUCCGGAUUCUACUUGUCUUCGAGGACCACAUGAUACGUCCAAGGAUACUCUCCGCAACGUAUUCGAUCUACUGUGUGUACAUCCUGUCGAUGGAAGCGCUAUUCACUGUAAAUUGGUAAAUCGAAAGGAAUUGCAUUCAGGCCAAUAAUGUGAGCCCAAUUUUUAUGAGACUACGAAGAACAACAACGAUAGGAUUGUGGUGGAUGGACAGGUAGGUUUGUGGAGUCGGAUCGGAAUGGUGGUAAGGGAAUGUUCCCAAAUUACGUCGUACACUUGGGGGAGAACGACAGGCCUAGAAAAGUGUGACAAUACAUCUGCUUCUUCUUCUUCUUUAUGGCUCUACGUCCCCACUGGGACUUUGCCUGCCUCGCUUCAACUUAGUGUUCUUUGAGCACUUCCACAGUUAUUAAUUGAAGGGCUUUCUUUGCCCGCCAUUGCAUGAAUUUGGAUAUUGUGAGGCAAGUACAAUGAUACACUAUGUCCUGGAAGUCGAGAAAUUUUCCCGACCGGAACAGGAAUCGAACCCGCCGUCUCCGGAUUGGUGAUCCAUAGCCUUAACCACUAGGCUAAUUGGAGGCCCACAAUACUGGAGAUGUGACAAUACGUGCAAUAUAGCGUAACCGAGGGAGGAGGGAAAGUCUGGAAAUCCCGAAUAAAGAUGAACGUAAUAUAUGAAUCUUCACUAAUCAACUACAACAACAGUCAACAAAAUAUAGAUAAUUUUUUUUAUCGGUAUUAACGAGAUUUUUAACCCUAGGCUAGUUCAUCUCGGGACCCACGCUUUACUUCCCUUCCGAAGGAAGAACUCACAUUUUGCGAGUUUGUCGGGAGUGGGAUUCGAUCCCAGGUCCUCGGCGUGAUAGUCAAUAUAAAUGUCUUUCUUCAUAUUUUACAAACCAGAUUAACCCUCGCGUUGAUAUGUAGCAGAAUAGCAGAAUUUUACAAACCAGAUUAACCCUAUAUAAAGCAGUGGCAACUAGGUAUAUUGCCACCUACAUUUUUUUUCUGUUUGAUAACAACAUAUUAUUGUAAUUAUUUUUCGGUUCACUCAUACCUGGGAUUACUAACAACCACCAACGCUGGUGGCCUAAACGGCCAGUGGCAACGUAUUCUCGGCAGUUUUGUUCUCUUCGUCAUGGGAGGUUGAACCUAUUGAACUCCA